rnacentral:tRNA from 1 species
GAGGGUAACUGCUCAGUGGUAGAGCGUGUGCUUAGCAUGCACAACAUCCUGGGUUAAAUCUCCAGUACCUCCA